rnacentral:rRNA from 1 species
GAUGAACGCUGGCGGCGUGCCUAAUACAUGCAAGUCGAGCGAACGGACGAGGAGCUUGCUCCUCUGACUUUAGCGGCGGACGGGUGAGUAACACGUGGAUACCCUACCUAUAAGACUGGGAUAACUUCGGGAAACCGGAGCUAAUACCGGAUAAUAUUUUGAACCGCAUGGUUCAAUAGUGAAAGACGGUUUUGCUGUCACUUAUAGAUGGAUCCGCGCCGCAUUAGCUAGUUGGUAAGGUAACGGCUUACCAAGGCAACGAUGCGUAGCCGACCUGAGAGGGUGAUCGGCCACACUGGAACUGAGACACGGUCCAGACUCCUACGGGAGGCAGCAGUAGGGAAUCUUCCGCAAUGGGCGAAAGCCUGACGGAGCAACGCCGCGUGAGUGAUGAAGGUCUUCGGAUCGUAAAACUCUGUUAUUAGGGAAGAACAAAUGUGUAAGUAACUAUGCACGUCUUGACGGUACCUAAUCAGAAAGCCACGGCUAACUACGUG